GGGUGAAAUCAUACUAGCACUAAUGCGUCGGGUCUCAUCAGAACUCCGCAAUUAAGCGUGCUUGGGUGAGAGUAGUAUUAGGAUGGGUGUUGACCCUCAAUUUUGUCCUCCUAGUACAUGUC
rnacentral:rRNA from 1 species